rnacentral:lncRNA from 1 species
AUAGAAUUGUUAUAUUAGUUAGUGUAUCAUGGUAUAUGUUACUUAAAUAUUUCUGAAGCAAGAUAAAUGAAGAGUGAAGUUGAUUACAAGAGGAGGAGGAAACUGUUCCUUGUGUUCAGACCUCUGGUACUCGCUUUUGCCUAUGUCUCUGGCAAUUUACACACUGUCAAGUCACACUGUGACUUUCAGUAAUAUGCUCUUUAUAUCCCAGGGUGAUGGCAGACUCCAAUGCCAAUGACUGUAAUACACUUACCAAGACAAUCUACCCUGCGAAAGCUGGGACAUUAAGUUUGCUUAUCCUUUGUAAUUAAAGAGAAAUGUAGGGAUUUCAGGGUGAGGGAGGGAAUCUGAACUGUUCCACCAGCAAAUCCUUUGUCAUUUUCACUUUAUAGUAAAAUAUAUGAGAUGUUAUAUGAGAAAGAAGAACAACAUAAUGGAUACUUCUAUUGCAGUCCAGAAAAAGGGAAGUGAACCUAGCAAAAAAUGAAGUGAAAUACCUGUUUUUCUAAAAGAAGAAAAUGAACUAAACAUAUGUAUUUCCUUCACCCCUGUUAGUUUAUUAGUUUAUUUUCUUCUUUUGUUUGAGUGCACAGGAUUUUGGAUUUCCUGGAAAAUGAGGUGGAUUCAAACUUAACAAAAAAGAAAAUUCUUGAGGAAUAUUAAUGUUUAUCAGCUAAGCCCAUAAGUGUUUCCAUAAGUAGAACUAAGUAUUUCAUCAAACAUCAAAUUGGUCAAAUAUUGACCAGUAUUAACUAUUUCAAAUGUGAAACUUAUGUUUCUAAAUACAAAUGUUACAAAAUUGCUACUAAUUUGUAAUUUCCCCAUUACUAAAACUUAACUGCUUUUAUAAGCUAAGUAAGUUGUUUGGAUCAUAAAACUAUAAAGUUUAAAUUAAACCAGAAAUAUGGUUUAUUUUUUUUUCCUCUGAGAGAUAAAUUCUAUUCUGUUUUCUAACUAAGAAUUUGAAGGUUAUCAGGACAAAGUAUCUCUUGGAAAGAGAUAAGAAAAGUACACAGUAUAAGGAAGGUAAAAGAAAAAUAAAUAUGUACAAUUACUAUGCAUUAAUUAAAAGUAAAAAUUCAAUGUCAAAUAUGAACAUCAAAUGGAAUAAAUGCCAAGUAUUAUAAAUAAGUAUCUUUCCAGCUGUUAGUAAUAUGUAAGAAAGUUCUAGUGUUGAGUCCUAUUGGAUAUUUGAAAUAUCUGGUAGAAGACAUUUUAGGUACCUGUUUUUUAGCAUUACCCUCAAAGUCUCCAGCUUUUUGACUUUUAGCUUUUUGAUUGAUCCAUAAUAAUAAUAUGCACUUAUAAGGUACAAUAUGUUGUUUGAUUCUUGUAUACAUUUGUAAUAAUAAAGUCAGAACAGUUAGCAUACCCAUCACUUUAAACUUUUGUGUUCUUUGUGAUGAAUAUAUUAAAAGUUCUCUCUUCUAGCUAUUGAGAAAUAUACUGUGUUUUUGUUAACUAUAUCCCUCCCCUCUGCUAUGCCAUUGAACACCAGCAGUUCUUCCUCCUAUCUGUAACACUGUACAUUUUCCAUCUUCUUCCCACCACUCUCCCCAGUCUCUGGAAAGAGACAUGAGCAUUUCAAAGUUAUUGCAGCAUUAUUCACAAUAGCCCAGAUAUGGAAUCAGCUUAAACAUACAUCAAGGGAUGAACCGUUAAAGAAAAUGUGACAUAUACACAAUGGGUUACUAUACACUAACAAAAAGGAUGAAAUAAUGUAAUUGGUGACAACAUAGAGGAACCUAGAAAACAUUAUUUUAUGUGAAAUGUCAGGCCCAGGAAGAUAAACACUGCAAGACUUUGAAAAUAUGUGUAAUAUCAUGGAAGUUUUGUAUUUUAAAAUAAUAGACUUUAAACUCUUUAGAUUACAACCAAAGAAAAUGGAUCAUACAGGGACCAGCUAGAAAAAAAAAAUUAAGAGCCAGUAUUACUUUCUUGGAGUUGGAGAGAAUAUUUAAACACAAUGCAAAACCCAGCAGUCAUAAUCAACUCCAUUCUUUUCAAAUUUGAAUGAGUUGCUUUAAAUUAAUUCAAGGACUAUGUGUGUGGGGGGGAUGAUGGGAUGAAUAAGAAAUGCAUAUGAAACAAGAUUGCUUAUAUGUUGAUAAUUUUGAAAAUUGUUGAAAAGGUAAUAGAUACUUAGGCACUUAUUAUUUUUUUUCUUUUUGUAUAUGCUUGAGGUUUUUUUAAUGUCAAAAAAGUAAGUAAAAAAAGCAAGAAGAGAAAUAUUAUAAGGAAAAGGAGAAGAGAAAGGAGGAACUUUUAGAAGACUAGUCAGAGGGGCAAGUUGGAGCUUUAUGGAAAUUCAAGGGAUUUUUAUUCUAUCUUAAUGACAAUGAAAAAUAUAUGAAAAUUAGGAUGCACUGAGUUGUUAAGAUACUUUUACUAUAGAACUAAAAAUAAUGAAUGUUGAGAUUUUUAUGUCAACCUAAAAUCCAAACGACAUAACACUGUGCUUAAAAUCAGCUAAUCCUACGUAUCUUUGUCCUUGUGAAUGGUUUAAACUGAGGCUCCCUGGUUUCUUUGGAGAUGAAAUGAUUUGCAUCUGUUCUUCACCAACACUUGCUGUUGUGACUUUGUUUAGUUUUGUUUGCCACUCUGAGAAUCAUAUGGUGAUUCUCAAAAGUCUUUCAUCAAGCAUUUCUCAAAAGUCUUAACAUCAAGCAUAUUUUAUGUGUUUAUUUACCACUAUGAUAUUGUCUUUAUUGUUGUUACUUUGUAAGUCAUGAAAUCUAGAACUCUGAUUUCUGCAAAUUUGAUCUUUUUUUCAAAAUAAUUUGGCUAUUAGUUCUUUUACCUUUUCACAUAAUUAAAAAGUGACCUUCUUGAUUUCUACGAAAAAUAAAGUAAAUCAUGCUGAAGUGUUUCCUGGAAUUACACUGGAUUUAUAAACCUGUUUGGAAAUAGUUUGAAUAUUCCAUCCAUGAGUUGAAUAUUCCAAUCUAUGAACAUCUUUUAUUUCUUUAUUGAUUUAGAUCUUCUUUGAGCUGUUUAUUAUUUUUUAAUAUAGUUUUUAUUAUACUGAUUAUGAACAUAUUUUGAUAGGCUUACAAUUAAGUAUUUUAUCUUAACUGGUGUCACU